UAGAGCUGGCUCAGAGUGAACGCUGGCGGCAGGCCUAACACAUGCAAGUCGAACGGCAGCACAGUAAGAGCUUGCUCUUAUGGGUGGCGAGUGGCGGACGGGUGAGGAAUACAUCGGAAUCUACCUUGUCGUGGGGGAUAACGUAGGGAAACUUACGCUAAUACCGCAUACGACCUUCGGGUGAAAGCAGGGGACCUUCGGGCCUUGCGCGAUUAGAUGAGCCGAUGUCGGAUUAGCUAGUUGGUGGGGUAAAGGCUCACCAAGGCGACGAUCCGUAGCUGGUCUGAGAGGAUGAUCAGCCACACUGGAACUGAGACACGGUCCAGACUCCUACGGGAGGCAGCAGUGGGGAAUAUUGGACAAUGGGCGCAAGCCUGAUCCAGCCAUGCCGCGUGGGUGAAGAAGGCCUUCGGGUUGUAAAGCCCUUUUGUUGGGAAAGAAAAGCAGUCGACUAAUACUCGAUUGUUCUGACGGUACCCAAAGAAUAAGCACCGGCUAACUUCGUGCCAGCAGCCGCGGUAAUACGAAGGGUGCAAGCGUUACUCGGAAUUACUGGGCGUAAAGCGUGCGUAGGUGGUGGUUUAAGUCCGUUGUGAAAGCCCUGGGCUCAACCUGGGAAUUGCAGUGGAUACUGGGUCACUAGAGUGUGGUAGAGGGUAGCGGAAUUCCCGGUGUAGCAGUGAAAUGCGUAGAGAUCGGGAGGAACAUCUGUGGCGAAGGCGGCUACC
rnacentral:rRNA from 1 species